rnacentral:rRNA from 1 species
AGCGUACACGGUGGAUGCCCUGGCAGUCAGAGGCGAUGAAGGACGUGCUAAUCUGCGAUAAGCGUCGGUAAGGUGAUAUGAACCGUUAUAACCGGCGAUUUCCGAAUGGGGAAACCCAGUGUGUUUCGACACACUAUCAUUAACUGAAUCCAUAGGUUAAUGAGGCGAACCGGGGGAACUGAAACAUCUAAGUACCCCGAGGAAAAGAAAUCAACCGAGAUUCCCCCAGUAGCGGCGAGCGAACGGGGAGCAGCCCAGAGCCUGAAUCAGUGUGUGUGUUAGUGGAAGCGUCUGGAAAGGCGCGCGAUACAGGGUGACAGCCCCGUACACAAAAAUGCACAUGCUGUGAGCUCGAUGAGUAGGGCGGGACACGUGGUAUCCUGUCUGAAUAUGGGGGGACCAUCCUCCAAGGCUAAAUACUCCUGACUGACCGAUAGUGAACCAGUACCGUGAGGGAAAGGCGAAAAGAACCCCGGCGAGGGGAGUGAAAAAGAACCUGAAACCGUGUACGUACAAGCAGUGGGAGCACGCUUAGGCGUGUGACUGCGUACCUUUUGUAUAAUGGGUCAGCGACUUAUAUUCUGUAGCAAGGUUAACCGAAUAGGGGAGCCGAAGGGAAACCGAGUCUUAACUGGGCGUUAAGUUGCAGGGUAUAGACCCGAAACCCGGUGAUCUAGCCAUGGGCAGGUUGAAGGUUGGGUAACACUAACUGGAGGACCGAACCGACUAAUGUUGAAAAAUUAGCGGAUGACUUGUGGCUGGGGGUGAAAGGCCAAUCAAACCGGGAGAUAGCUGGUUCUCCCCGAAAGCUAUUUAGGUAGCGCCUCGUGAAUUCAUCUCCGGGGGUAGAGCACUGUUUCGGCAAGGGGGUCAUCCCGACUUACCAACCCGAUGCAAACUGCGAAUACCGGAGAAUGUUAUCACGGGAGACACACGGCGGGUGCUAACGUCCGUCGUGAAGAGGGAAACAACCCAGACCGCCAGCUAAGGUCCCAAAGUCAUGGUUAAGUGGGAAACGAUGUGGGAAGGCCCAGACAGCCAGGAUGUUGGCUUAGAAGCAGCCAUCAUUUAAAGAAAGCGUAAUAGCUCACUGGUCGAGUCGGCCUGCGCGGAAGAUGUAACGGGGCUAAACCAUGCACCGAAGCUGCGGCAGCGACGCUGAUGCGUUGUUGGGUAGGGGAGCGUUCUGUAAGCCUGUGAAGGUGUACUGUGAGGUAUGCUGGAGGUAUCAGAAGUGCGAAUGCUGACAUAAGUAACGAUAAAGCGGGUGAAAAGCCCGCUCGCCGGAAGACCAAGGGUUCCUGUCCAACGUUAAUCGGGGCAGGGUGAGUCGACCCCUAAGGCGAGGCCGAAAGGCGUAGUCGAUGGGAAACAGGUUAAUAUUCCUGUACUUGGUGUUACUGCGAAGGGGGGACGGAGAAGGCUAUGUUGGCCGGGCGACGGUUGUCCCGGUUUAAGCGUGUAGGCUGGUUUUCCAGGCAAAUCCGGAAAAUCAAGGCUGAGGCGUGAUGACGAGGCACUACGGUGCUGAAGCAACAAAUGCCCUGCUUCCAGGAAAAGCCUCUAAGCAUCAGGUAACAUCAAAUCGUACCCCAAACCGACACAGGUGGUCAGGUAGAGAAUACCAAGGCGCUUGAGAGAACUCGGGUGAAGGAACUAGGCAAAAUGGUGCCGUAACUUCGGGAGAAGGCACGCUGAUAUGUAGGUGAAGUCCCUCGCGGAUGGAGCUGAAAUCAGUCGAAGAUACCAGCUGGCUGCAACUGUUUAUUAAAAACACAGCACUGUGCAAACACGAAAGUGGACGUAUACGGUGUGACGCCUGCCCGGUGCCGGAAGGUUAAUUGAUGGGGUUAGCGCAAGCGAAGCUCUUGAUCGAAGCCCCGGUAAACGGCGGCCGUAACUAUAACGGUCCUAAGGUAGCGAAAUUCCUUGUCGGGUAAGUUCCGACCUGCACGAAUGGCGUAAUGAUGGCCAGGCUGUCUCCACCCGAGACUCAGUGAAAUUGAACUCGCUGUGAAGAUGCAGUGUACCCGCGGCAAGACGGAAAGACCCCGUGAACCUUUACUAUAGCUUGACACUGAACAUUGAGCCUUGAUGUGUAGGAUAGGUGGGAGGCUUUGAAGUGUGGACGCCAGUCUGCAUGGAGCCGACCUUGAAAUACCACCCUUUAAUGUUUGAUGUUCUAACGUUGACCCGUAAUCCGGGUUGCGGACAGUGUCUGGUGGGUAGUUUGACUGGGGCGGUCUCCUCCUAAAGAGUAACGGAGGAGCACGAAGGUUGGCUAAUCCUGGUCGGACAUCAGGAGGUUAGUGCAAUGGCAUAAGCCAGCUUGACUGCGAGCGUGACGGCGCGAGCAGGUGCGAAAGCAGGUCAUAGUGAUCCGGUGGUUCUGAAUGGAAGGGCCAUCGCUCAACGGAUAAAAGGUACUCCGGGGAUAACAGGCUGAUACCGCCCAAGAGUUCAUAUCGACGGCGGUGUUUGGCACCUCGAUGUCGGCUCAUCACAUCCUGGGGCUGAAGUAGGUCCCAAGG